CAAAAAAAAAGGGUUGGCCUCUCCCGUGCUCCACACCCUUUCCUGUUGGGUCCUCCUUCCUUGGCUCCUCGCCUCCCAAUAAUUCUAGCAUCGAUUGACUUUCCAACAUUUCUACCGUCCUAUCAUCUCUCCAAUUAACUUCCCCACAAUUGAUUUCCCUUUAUUCUCUUUAUUAUCUUCUACGACAGAUGAUCUUCAUCUUCACUAAGAUAAAAGGAACGGCUCAUGUGUGAGGACAUCGGCGCCGUCGAGGGGAAAGGUGAUCCCGGACGACACCAUGGUGCGUGCUCGUGGGAUGGUGUCGUACCAGCCCAGUCCACACAUGGAAGACGGAGUACAACCCCGCCGUCGCUAGCUUCUGGUCAGAUCGAUGGAUCCGCGGCGACGGCGCUCGGCAAAACAUCACUGUUCAAGGAAGGGCUGCGAUCUACAUGAGCAAAUACAUGGCGUACCUGCAGAUGAAGAUGGCGCUAGCCAUCCUAUUCAGGUUCUAGCUUGUGAAGGGCCACCCCGUCAAAUACUACAUGUUGACCAUCUUCUCCAUGACGCACAAUCUCAAGCUCCAGAUGCAGAUUGGCUAUUGACUAUUUAAAUUUUCUCUAGCAUAUUGUAUCAAUAGUGUUACUUAAGGUAACUCCAAUUCCUCAAUUUUGUUAGCAGGAUUGCGCUGAUUUUUCUGAAGACAUGUGAAGAAAUUAUCUUGCACCAAUCUCCUUCGAUGGUUACUUUUGUUGUUAAAUUCUUGUUAAUGAUGGACAACUCUAACCUGCGAGCCACGUUAUGGUGAUCCAAAUCUCCUUUGAUGGCCAUGGCUGACACUGCUCGAUGGUGACAUUUACCACAUUUCGCGGAUCCGUUAGCCAGAGAUGGUUGUCACUGUUUCCAUGCUCAAGGCGAUCAACUUGGAGACUAUUUAAUGAAUGAUUUAUAUUUGCAGAAGCUGGAUGAGACCAUACAUUACAACCUUUCUCCCAUAUUUGAAACUUGGAAAAGUCUGAGGUGGUUCCAGAAUGCGGAGAUACAUUUUAGUCGUCUUGGUAUGUUAGAAGAGGUACCAUGUUUAGAUCAAUGUUUUGGUUUAUCGCUUACGGAAGAUUUUGAAAUGCAUACACACAAAUGAUGCCAUUUCUAAGCCAUGUGCUCAUACUGAUAUGAUAAUAAGAUUCUUCCUUUAGUUAUGUUUUUGCUAUUUUGUCAUUCCUUUUGCUGAUUUGAGUAGUUUGGUUGACAUGUGAUUCUCGGGUGGUGUUGCCUGGGAUUAUGAUGUUAGUUCCUCAACUCAGCAUCAAGAGAAUUGAUUAUCACAUGCUGGUUUCAAAGUAUGUUCUGACCAAAAAUUUUGAGUUGCUCUUCCAGACUGGGUGAAGUAUAAUGCACGAGUGUGCAAUUUAGUUGGUUAGCAAAGUGAAGGAUUCAAGCAACCUUUUAUGUUUUUGUUAGUAAACUGAUGAAUUUAGAGCAACCAUUUAUGUGUGAUCCAUCUUUUAGCAUGAGAGACAACAUGCUUAACAAGUGUUUCAAGUUAUUUACAUUUCCUUUGUCUACUAUAUCC